CACUGUUGUAUUUACAGAAGUUGUAUGAGAAUAAGCUACAGGUUGAUUUAUACUAAUUUGUUAUUUUUCUUUUUUAGCACGACUGACAAAAGUUUUAAAAUCAUGCAACGUCAUAAAGCAGCAGCUGGGCCUGAUUCUCACAAAACCAAAACAGACGUGAUGAAAUUCCAGAUGUAAACACAUUUGACCUUCCUUUGGCCAAUUUGAUUUGGAAAAGCUUGAAAAUCAACUAAAGGAGCAGCCCGAACAAAUUAAGAAACUGAUGGAGUGAGGACAAAUGUCCUUACCACGCCACUGAUAAAGAAGUGGAAAAAUGCAUUACAAGGUAGCUACAACUUGCCCCUGACAGGGAUGGAGGAAGAAAGAAGAGAAAGCUAAUGUGUCAAAUGUCUACAUCACUAUUUUGUUUUAUUUUUUAAACAACAUUUUAAGUGUAUUAGGAUGUUCCCUGAUACUUGAACAAUUUGUUUCUUUCAUUUGCAUUUAUAUAUAUAUAUAUAUAUAUAUAUAUAUAUAUAUAUAUAUAUAUAUAUGUAUAUAUAUGUGUGUGUGUGUGUGUGUGUGUGUGUGUAUAUAUGUAUGGUAUGUAUGUAUGUAUGUGUGUGCGCCAAAUUCUGAAGAAAGAAACAUCUUGAUACAUUUUUAAUAAACGUAAUACAAAUAAAAUUAUAAAUAUAAAAUUGCACAAGACGUGUGUAUAUAUGAAAUUUUGACUUUAUACUUCUGCAAUUAUUUAUAUAUAUAUAUAUAUAUAUAUAUAUAUAUAUAUAUAUAUAUAUAUAUAUAUUUGUUUGUUUAUUAUUAUUUUAAUGUUUUAUUAAAAAUGUUUCAAGAUGUUUCUUCAGAAUUCUGCAGUACUUUUUACAAGUUUGACUUGGAUAUUUUACGGAUUGUCAUUGGUAUUUUUAAGAUGUUUCUUGCUAUAUCUUAAAUUGGUUUCUAUAUUUAGG
rnacentral:lncRNA from 1 species